UCCUGCGGGAAGAGACAGAUGACUACGGGUCCUCAGGAGGUGGACCCACUGCUGCGGGGAACUGAUCACCCAAGAGCCAGGAGCAGGGGUGCCCCGACCUGAAUGUCCCCACACCCUGGGCUGGGCCCUGUCCAUUGUGUCUUCAGCAAGGACUCAGUUUCUCUCUUUGCACCCUUAUGGGUUUGCUGUCUGAAAGGCAAGUGACGGCGUCACCCAGGGAGCACACGGAGACAGGAAGGGCUCGGCUGGACUCAGCCCCAUCCCACAACAUCCUGUCCCUGGCUUCCAAGGCAACCAAAGAGGACAAAGCUGUCCAGAGAGCGCCUACACCUCCACCUUGCAGAUCCACAGUGCACCCCUUGGUCCUGACCAUGUCCCCAUUGUCCCUGCACCUCAGGACACGCCACUUGUCCACUCAAGGCUGCAGGCAGAAAGAUGCUGCUCUUGGCCUCGGGCUGGAAGGCAGCAGAGCCCAGGUCCCCACUGCAUUGGGAGCCCCAUCCUGCCUGCUGGAGCCCCUGUGGGAACACCAUGGGGAAGUGCCCCAAGUGAGCCCCCGCGUCCUGUGCUCCAGGGUCAGACAGGAGGCUCAGAAGCCUCAGUACAUGAAAGGCGUGCCCUGCUGCCAGGUUGUUUCUUCUGCCCUCACAUUGCAUCCUGGGGUUUACCUUGGCAGUACUAUGCAGAUUUAAAAACUCGCUGAAGUUCUUUUCAGAAACCGCUGUGAAGGCGUUGCGAACCAGAUCUGAUCAGACAGGAAAAAGUAGGUGAGCAUGGAUGGCUGCAACAUGCCUGACUUAAAAGGCCAGGAGCUCUGGCUUCUGUCCCCACCCUGUCACCCCUCCAAUCCCUUGAGGACACGCCCUGAUCCCUAUUGCCUCUAGUAGCCAUGAAGGACUGGGCUUUGCUGGAACGGCAGGUGACAUCUGGGGAGGAGGGCGGCAGAGGAGCCUGAGGGGAGAGAUCCAUCAGAUUGGAAUCCAGCAGGUGACACAUUUCAAGAAGAGGUGAGCAGAGGUGAGAUGUGGGCAGCUUGGGGGCUCUGACCCUGCCCUGGCCACAGCGAUGCCGAGGGGAGUCACACUGGGUGCAGGCAUUUUGUCCCUUCCUGGCUCCUACAGCUGUCCCCUCAGCAGAGCCUUGGAGAGCUGAAGUGACCAUAGGCAUAAGGCAGAGUGGCCUGCAGCAGAGACACACCACAGGUGUGGGCUGGAUAUGUUGGGACAGCUCCACAGGCCUCCGCUCGUGGAGGUGAGCAUGGUGGCCCUGGGUGGCUGGGAUGAUGCUGGUCAUCAGAUGGACAGUAUCAGAUAAGAAGAGGGGCAUGGGGCCAGUGCUGUCACUCAAUGUCCCGCAAUGAGGCCUCCCUGAAACUCCUAGGCGAUCAAGGUCAGACGAAGCCUGGGCACCCUCGGAGGGCCGUGCAACUCCACUCCACUGACACUCGGCCAGGACACGUCUUUGUGACACACCAGACAAGUCCCUGCCGCACACUGCUGGCCAGGGACUUACCAAAUCCGAGCAGUGGGCAACGGGACCCUGAUUCACAAAAGGGUCACUCAGGACUUGGGAUAGAGCUCAGAAGCUCGGAACUCCGAGACAGUCCUGGGGACUGAGCCAGGGACAACUUCCCUCGGACUGCAGUGAGGAAGGCAGUGUCAAGACACUCAGCUCCCCAAGCCCGGCCAGCACCUCGGAUCCAGGAGCAGCUGAGGGCAGCCUCUCCAAAACCCACUGGAUUUUACCAAACACAAAGGACUCAGGUGGCAAAUGCUCCUCGCCCAGAACCAGGGGCCUCUAGGAUGCAGGAUGACCUGGAGCACCAGCAGGGGCCACCUGCAGGUCGCCUGCCCUAAACUGAGGCAGGGGCAGGCACACAGGGCACGAGCGCCCUGGCAUGAGACACAGGCUGAGGGAGACCCGGUCUCCUCUUCUCUACUAGAAAUUCACAUCGAGGUUCACUCUCAGACAGUAAAGCCCAGCCUGCCAAAGGCAGUGCUCACAGGACACUUGGCGUGUUCUCAGAGCCAAGCAAGCCCUCUGCCCCGGAGGUGGCCAGCGCCACCCCCACAGGCCCCUCCCUGCCUCUGCUGCCUUGUCCCGCCCUGCAGCCCCUCCUUUGCUCCCUGUCCUUGUGAGUCGCGGGUCUGCACACUUGACAGGCAGGAACCUCAGGGUAUGCGCUCCUCUGCCUCGGGGAUUCCUCUCAUUCCUAUUCAGGGCUUCAAGGUUUAGCCACCUUCCCCAGGUGUCAGUACUUCUGGGGCUCAAUACAGAACACCAUGCUGAAUGGUGUUACAUACUCCGGUGUGUCCCCCACAACUCCUAUGCUGGGGUCCUAACCCCAGCACGUCAGAAUGUGCAGUAGACAGGGGUUCUCAACAGGAGGCAAGUUGAAAGGAAGCCUCAGCAUUGCUCCAGCUCAGAGAGCAGGGAGCUCACGGUGCCAGCCACCACCCUGAGCAGUGAGGACAGGUUCUCCGCAGCCACGGUGGAUGGUGACACCCAGUCAGUGUCUCCUAGGGGUCAGCCAGUCUGGGACAGCGGGCUCCUGAAUACGUGGAAGGAUCACGGGGUGCUGCACUGUGGGGGUGAAUCUACUAAUUUCAUCAGUGAAAAGUGCUGAGUACAUCCAGCUGCCGGGCAAGCCACUGGGUACACCUGGAGAGGUCGCUGGCCACUCUGCCUCUCUCUCGCUCUUGCUCUGUCUUGCCCUGUGCUUUGCUUCCUAACCACCAUGAAGCAGCUUCGCCCUGCCACGCCCUCCUGCUGCGACAUUUCUGCAUUGGAGCCCACUAACCAUGACCUGAACCCUCUGAAACUGUGAGCCUGGUAGAAACACCCACACACACACUCUGAAUUGUGGGUAUCAGCGACCGCAAAGCUGACCAACACACUACGUGUCCCUUGAAAUCAGUUACGGGUGCCGUUGGCCUCAUUUAGUGGCAAGGAGCACAGCGAGCUGGCUUCCUUGUUGACAGCUCCUACUCCAGCCAUGCUCCUCGCCAUUCACGGCACUCUCCUCUGUGUCCUCACAGACCACGCCGCAUGCUGGCCUGAGCGGUGACUCCCCCAAGGUUAGACGCUGACAUUCGCCUAGGUGUGGCACCACUCGGAGUCACGAGGGCUGCACUUCCACAGAGACCACAGAUGGCAGAAGAGCCAGGGAGAGCUGCCCACCACUCCUUGUGAGCACACAGCCAGAUGUCACCACCCUGGCUCAGAGGCAGAGCCCCAGACUCACAGGACACCCAGCAGCGGCUCUGACACCCACAAUGUGAGCAGCGAGCUUCUGUCCUGUCCUGUGUGACUCCCCUCACUGAGGUUCACAGUGACAGCGUGGAAAGGCACUGAGGCACUCACCUUUCUUAAAGUGGUCCUUGAUCAUGGAAUCCCACUGUUCGAACUUCUGUCGGAGGCAGGCAGUCAGCCGGGGGUCUUCCACACCCACACUUUCCUCCCCCUCAACCAGAGCGCUGAUGUCCUGAUUAAAUGCUUUGAUUUUCUACCAAGAAGAGAA